GGUCUCUUCUGGUUCCAGAUGAAAUUUAGGAGUGAUUUCUCUAGAUCUAUAAGUGUUAUUUGAAAGCUUCCUCAGGAUCUGUUGAAAAUCCCCUUCUAUGUUUGGAGCUACUGGGACUCUGGCGCCGCGCUACUCCAAGCCAUUAGGCCUACAGAACCAGUGGCCCUCCUCUGCCUGCUCAGAACUCCGCAGUUCCAGACAAGCUGGGCCUCAGGGACACUGUGCGCCCACCUGCCCCUGGAAGCUCCACAGUUCUUCAAUCGCAGCCGGGUUAGGGUACUCACCACAGGCCGCAGUGCUUCAGGAACCUGUGGACCCUCCCUGGUUGCAGAGAUAUCCACAGUCCUCCAGACACGCAGAGAGGCCAGUGAGGGCACCCCAGAUCUGCCCAGCUCCUCCUCUGCAGACCUAUGGCCAGGCGCGGCAGCUAAACAGGCUGGGCUAGGCUGGUAGUGUGGGCCAGCCCACCUAUCGGGAGCUCAGCAGGUCUCCAAAUGAAGCCGGCAAUGGGGAGGCUGAUGUGGAAGCCUCAAACCCACCUCUCUCCUUCACUGCACCUGGAAGCCUGAGGGAACUCCAGCAGUCUGGGCGCAGAAAUCCAGAGUCCUCCAGACACGCAGAGAGGCCAGUGAGGGCACCCCAGAUCUGCCCAGCUCCUCCUUUGCCAAAAAUCUUUUGUUUUCCUUGAGUUCCGUUUUUUUAAGUCAGCUAUGAGAAGAUUACUGAAGGAACAUCAGCUGGUUAUACGUGAGAUGAACCACCAGUGGUAGGUGCUGGGAAAUAUAUCACAUUCUGAAUCUAAAGGUCACUCCUUGAGAAUUAAUACUACUAAUAAACAGUACAGAAGGCUCUUUAUUCAUUUUACGUUAGUGACUUGAAACCAGGUUUGUUAAACAGCUCACUGUAGCUGACAGUGAAUGUUUAGCAGGAAUGCGUACCAGGCUCUCAUAAUGUUAUCCCCAAGUACAGUAUGACUAAGGCAUCCUACAUUUAGCAGCACCUCUUUCUAACAUCAAGUUAAAAGAGAAAUAGAGAAAGAACGUAGGAAGAACUGCAGUGGUUUUGACAAACGAUUAAGUACACUUCUACAAAGGAGUAUCUGAAGAGUAAGCCUUUGCCCUGUGAAGACUGUGUGUCAUUCCACAUAUGCUUGGGGUCAUUUCUUCUUUUGUGGCUUCACUACGUCCUGUUUACACACUGACCCACUGGUAGUCUUCACAUGCUGGCGUAAAUGUUCUGUAUCAAAUCCCUCAUGGAGUUAUUUGGUGAAUAGUCUGGUUUGCACUAACACGUCUGCAGUAAUGUGAGAAACUUAAGAAUCAGGCACAAAAUUAAGAAGACAGACUCUUAUUAGCACUGUCUGUGGCUGCUUUGCUUUGUUCUGUUUUUUGGUACGGGGACUCACACUCAGGACCUUGCACUACCGGGCGGCCGCUGUGCCCCUGAGCUGUAUCCCUGGCUCUUAGCACGGCCUGUUGAAAGGGGUUAAUGGUAGCAGCAAGGAGGAUCCAUACUGGUUGUAUUUAGAUGGGAAAUAACACAUGAGGAGAAGGGUUGGACUGAUGAUCAACAUCUUAUGGUGAGAGUUUACGCAAAAUGUUAUAUAAAAGCAAUUUUAGUUGAAAUGUGGUUACAGUUUUCUGAUAAGGUAAAAUUUUGCCAGAAAUUAAUGACUGUUUUUAUACUCUGUAGUCGUAUAGACAGUAGUGAGAUAACUGGUUCUAAGAGAAAUUUUUCAUAUAUUAGCUUGUAAAACACUAUGUAUAACUCACUUUUUAAAUUUUAUUGUCUUCAGUGUGGAAAAAUCAUUAAAAAUGUGAAACUUUUAAAAGUCCAAGAAUAUUGGACAAGAACCUGGGGCGGUCAGAGUAAGCAAGACAUGGUGACACCAUAAGCAGUUAUUUGAGGAAUGGAGAUGGUGUUCUAGGUUUCCCUUCAGAGUAGAUGCGUGAUGUUGGAAAAUAUUAUUUGACUCACUCUAAGUCUCCCCAUUUUGUCCUGGUACCGCCUGAAGAGCAGAAAUGUUGGUUAGAAGAAGCACUUCUGUGUUCUUACAGACAGGGAAGCUGGUCAAGCUGGUGAUGUGGAGGAACAGCAGGUAACUGGGGGGUGCGCAGCAGGAACAGUAGGCAAGGUUAGAGAAGGGGCUGGGAGGAGUUAGGAAACAAUUCCAUAAGCGUGUAAUCGUCUCUUACUAAAACAAAUACUUGAACACAAAGAUUGUACCUUUCCAGUGAGACCCUCAUGGUACAAAUCACCUGUAGUUACACAAUAACAAGGAGACAGCAGAUAAACUUUCCUCGUUACCUGUGGCAGAAGGCUCCCUUGCAUUCUCUGACUGCUCAACAAGUUGGCAAAACAGCACACAGCACAAUUACGUACAAAGCCAGGAGGGCGGAAUUCUAGAUUUCAGUCUCUUAGCUCUUCAUUAAUCUUCAGCAUUCCACUUACACACUUAUGCACAGACACACAUGCACGUGCAUACACUGGGGCCAGUGCUGUGACUAUCAGGCACUAGCUACUAAGAACACAUUUCUCACAAUCAGUGUGAAAUGCAUGGAAUAGAACAAUGUGAGGAGUUUGGUUAUAUUAACAUAAUGUAUGGUUAGAAUUAUAAACACAAGGAUGGUACAAUGUUCAGAAAUGGAAACUUUUCAAAUCAAGCAGUCACACAUAUUUACAAUAUAUACAGGCUUUCUAGUGGAGCAGAGAGAAUGUCUAGGCAAUGUUAUUGCAGAUUUUCCUGAAUGUGGGCAUCUCUAGUCCCUGUAAUUCAUAAAGUAAAUCUGCUGACUUGGCAUUAAGACUAAAAUCUUGUGAUCAAAUAUAUAUUGUAAUAGGUUUGCAGAAAUAACAUUUACAAACUGUACAGUACACGUACGAGGACAUAGAAAAUAGAUUCUAACUUUAUGAUCCCAUUUAUGUAAGGCAAGACUGAAUCUGUUCCUAGUUUAGUCAGCCAGAGGUACAAGCAAGAAACAGUGGUCCAUGAAUAAAUAAAUGAAUAUGCUCAUCAGGUAUCUCAGUAUUAAAAAUCUGGAGAAACAAA